rnacentral:rRNA from 1 species
AUUGAACGCUGGCGGCAGGCCUAACACAUGCAAGUCGAACGAGUGGCGGACGGGUGAGUAAUGUCUGGGAAACUGCCUGAUGGAGGGGGAUAACUACUGGAAACGGUAGCUAAUACCGCAUACCAUCGGAUGUGCCCAGAUGGGAUUAGCUAGUUGGUGGGGUAAAGGCUCACCAAGGCGACGAUCCCUAGCUGGUCUGAGAGGAUGACCAGCAACACUGGAACUGAGACACGGUCCAGACUCCUACGGGAGGCAGCAGUGGGGAAUAUUGCACAAUGGGCGCAAGCCUGAUACAGCCAUGCCGCGUGUAUGAAGAAGGCCUUCGGGUUGUAAAGUACUGUCAGCGGGGAGGCGUUACCCGCAGAAGAAGCACCGGCUAACUCCGUGCCAGCAGCCGCGGUAAUAC